UUAAAAUAAAUAAUAAUGGAAGAAAAAAAAAGAGAGAGACCUCGCAUACCGUAAAACGUUUUAAAGGUCCGUUAUCUGAGCACGAGGAACUAACACAGUUGGUUAACCCUGUGUAAAGUUCUGUUUGUGGUUCCUUUUCAAUUAGCGGUUACAGUACCAGUAAUUGAAGCUACCGGUUUCUCGAAAAAGAUAUUUUAAAAAAUAAAUAAAUAAAAAACCGACUUGUUUUUGGUUUUCAUUUGAGAAGACAGUAGAGAUAAGGGUAGGAUGUGGACGCAGUGAACUCACCCCGCACUCACCGUGAACACGGAUUUAACGCUAACGGACUACCUGAGAAUCAAUUUUUCAUCGUAGAGUCACUUUGGGCGGAUUUAACGGAGAUUUAUUCGGUCUAUUUGACAGAUUUCCAACACUGGACCACCGCCUUCCCAGAGGCUCGUGACCAAAGCUCAGUGGAUCAGCAGUGUGAGCUAACGUGUCGGCCAGUCGGCUAUUGUUUUUACGUUCGUCAUUCGGAGCGAGUGAGAGACCGAAACCCGUGUGUUGAUAACACCCCCAAUGAUAUGUGCGUGGGAGGCCGAUGCCUGCUUCCUCUCAGAGUGAGGGGUGUGAUGGCAUGCUUGGCUCGGGUGUGGUGUGUGAUUGGUGCAGCAUUUGUGUGUGUGGGAGGCUGAUGCCUGGGUCAAAGGUCAGCGACAGGGCAGCCGACUCUCCAGCCAAUCGCGUCCCGGACCAACGUUGAGGAAGUGAAUAUACACUAACAUUUCAAUAGCUCUGUUUUGUUAGCCACUUUAGCAUCACAGCUCCAGUGCAAACAUGUCUCUGCUGAUCAACUACGUCUGGGGUAAAACGUAAAUUGUGUGCCCUUCUUUUCUAAUCUUUUUUCUUUUUUUAAAAAAUCUUUUGCUUUUUCUCAAAGUGAGAACUUUUUUUAAAAUCCAGUAUGUUUGUUUUGUUUUAAAAGCACUAGAAUUUUCUGCAUUUCUAUGGCAACCUGGAUGCCAAACUAAACCUACAAUGAUGAAGGUGCCUUUAAUAAAGAAAAUUAGAUUUGUGCCCAUUUUGCUCAUAAACUAUCAGUACACCUGAUUUUGUUCACAUUCCUAUCUAUACAAGUACACUACAUAGGGGAAGACAUAAUACGCUUACACUCUGUCAAGUGCACUAGAUGUCCAAUAGCCAUGCAUGACUUGCCAUAAUUCAGUUAUUCAGUUAAAUAAUGCCUCCUACACCCUAUCUAGGGCACUAUACAUACAGCUACGAGUCAGCCAUAUUUGAUUCCAGCGCGCUUGUGCAGGAAGUAUGGAGCUAAAUCCCAAAAUGUUUCAUAUUAGACGUGUAGUGCACUACAUAGGGUGCAGCAAUUUUCAUACCUCAUAAGUGCAACUAUUUGGGGAGCAGGGACCUUAAAUACAUUGGGGCAGAGCUACACUUUCUAUACAUUUUGCACUACAUCGGCUGCCAUUAUUUUUCUUCUAAUCCUCUAGUUGACAUAUAGUGCACUAUGUAAGGGGUAUUAUUUCAUUCCCUGUGAAAUGCAUGAAUUUCUUUGCAGUGCACUUUAUGGGAUUAAAGAAAAAAAAAAGAAAUGGCACCCCAUGUAGUGCACUAUAUAGAAUUUUAGCUCUGCCUUAACAUGGAGGUGCACUUUAUAUGAAAUAAUAACACCUACUCCCUGUGUAGUCCACUAAAUGUCCACGAGGGAACUAUGGAUUCUGAUCAUUACUCCCUGUGCACUACUUAGGAUAAAUAAAUUUGUUUAAAAAAAGAAUACAAAUGGAAAAUACAACAAGGCUGUUUAAACACAACAAGGCUGUAGUAGAAGUUUUUCUGUUCUGCGUGAUGACAUUUAAUUUCCCAGACAACCUCUGUAGUCCUAUUUAGCCACUUGUUAGCAACAGUCUUUUUCAAGACGUGUAAAAGCUUUUGAAAAAAAUCCUGAGUGGGGUAGUACUUGUAGCAAUGUGGCUCGUUUCGCAACAACUAUGCCACCCCGAGAAAAUGGGGAAAAUAACCCAAAUAAAGACACACAAGUACGUUCCACUUAGAACAGGUAAGAGGCAUGGGUUUCCAUACAAAAAUACAUUUUAUUUUGAAGUUAAAAAGACUGGCCAAGAAUUAUAAAAAAUAAAAUAAAUAAAAAAACAGCAACCAACACAAUCAGGCAUUGGUCAAAUAAAACAGUCACAAGAAGAAAUUAACAAUAAUCAUAGGAGAGCUGAGGCUUCCUGAAGGGCAGGCUAGUACGAUAGCACCAGCUGUACAAACGGGAAAAGAACCCCACUAAUCAGAAUCAUACCCACAAAAAUUCACUGCAAAUAAAUACAGCAGUAAUAACGACCCUUAAUAAAGCAAAGCCUAAGGUGCAGCAAAGAACCCCCCCAGCCUCAGGAAGCACUCAGCUCCUACAAGGAGGAGAAAAAAAAACACAGUCAAUUACAAUAUGCUCAGAGCAGACAAACAAAAGAAUAAAACAAAACAAAGACAAACUUAUUGUCACAUAAACACAGACAUAACCCCGAGCUCAAACUGAUUACAGGUAGCAAGUUUACCAAGACUGACCAAAACCAGCAGAAUUGAUAAAGACUGUUACAACAAUUGAGUUCAAUAAAACUGAUCUUAGUGACAAUAACAAACAUAAGUAAAAGCAAAACAAACUGAAGCAGCAAAACCAAACAGAAUCAAGCAGCAACAUGGCUCCACGAGUGAGGGGGACGAGCUAUACUGCAAUGACCACAUCUCACUCAGCCCGCCUAAAUGCAUGCAAAAUCGGGGACCCUAAGAACAAACGGGUGUUACAACCUCAAUUUGGAAAGCAUGCAAACUCAUUUAGCUCAAGUAAUAGAACUAAACAAUUUACCUACCGUGAUCCGAUGGCACAUACGAAAAUCUUGAUAGCUUCUUUAAUAGUUGUGACGGCAACAGCUGGCGCUCCGACUGGAGCUACGUUAAACUACCGUGCUACAAAGAUGGGAGCCUUGACGGCACACCACACCUGCAGUCUCGGUAGCUUAAGGUUACGCUAAACAAGUAAAUUGCAUGGUAAGUAGACAAAGCUAGCAUCAAACAGCUAAGCAUCAAAGCUAAAAACGCAUACCUCUGUAGUCCAUAGCAACGAAAGGAAGGGACAGGUAUUUGACCAUGACGCAUUCUGGGAGGCAUAAACAACCACUUGUAUACUGUGGUAGGGAGAGAGCCCAUUGGCCACGUAGUUAAUAAGGGUGACGUUUUAACCACGACACACACGUCACUACAUACUGAUGUAUUUUAUGGUGUAGUGUAAAACAUGAACAUAUAUUGAGCUUGUGUUAACCACAGACCUUAUUU